CCUGGAAGGUUUUUUGGAAGAGCCUUAUCCACGUGCCCUCAGGGAAGGUCUCUUGAUUGUAAACCUCAUUCUCUCCAAAGGAAUAGGAUGGGACAAGGUAUGAUCUGCAAAGAGAGGGGCAGAAGUGUAAGUUCUCCCAGGAGCCCCUCCUCCACCCUCAUUGAAACCCUCUCCAAGGCUGACAGCGCUGGAGACUCUCCAGAGUUCUCUUCCUUUGGGGUCAUCAGGGAGAGCUGCCGCCAACCAGCUUCCUCCUUCAAGCCACCUGGCAAAGGGAAGUCAUUGGCUGGGGUUUCUGGAGAGUAAGCUGACCUAGGAUCCUAUCCAAGCCAAAUUGGAAUGCAGAUGAACCAUGGAAUGAGGAGGACAUCCUGUUAAUCGACAAGAGUCACGGAGUCUUUCCUCACUUCUUCCCAUCUUUGCCCUGUGCUGCCCUAUCAUUCUCUCCUGGGAUGGCAGAAAUUGCCUUCAGGCCACAGUCACUGAGAUACCACUGUUCCAGGUUCAUGCCAACCUCAGAGGGGAGUGGAACCAUCCUCUGGGACUCUGUGGUCCCACCUGGCCCCAGAUAUAAAUGUAUCUUACCUUUUAAUGUUUGGCUUCAGUUGUUUUCUGGUGUCCUGAAGGAUGACUAUUCAUCUAGAGAGAAGGACUUUUGUCACAGUACCCCGGCUUGAAGCCUGGCUUGGAGAACUUGUCCUGGAUUCUGAUGGAGACCUAUCCUUUAUCCCUUGACAUCUUACACAAGUUCGAAAGGGUUCCCAGGAGACGAAGGUCAUGGGCCAGGAAGGUACCAGCUAAUAUGAAAGACUUAAAAGUGUCUUUGAGAUGCCCUGGGAUGAGAGCUGCUACACAAAUGACUGGCCAAAAGAAGCCAACUGACGUCCCAGAAAGAAUCCAGCAAAGUUCAUCUGAGCUGUCCCAUUCAUGCCUCCUUUUCCCCACAUUUGGUUUUGAUCUGUCUUUUUUUUUAAUGGAGUUACUGGGGAUUGAACCCAGGACCUCAUGCAUGCUAAGCAUGUGCUCUACUGCUGAGCUAUUUCCCUCCCCAGCUUUGAUCUUUUUGGAUUUGGCUUUUGCUUUCUGCUUUCCACUUUGGCUUUGACCCUGAACUCCAGGCAUCCACUUCCUCCUCUGAAAGGAUUCCUGGCAACUCUUACGAAUGCCCAUAAUUUACCCUGGUGCCUAACCAAACCCUGCCUCCCAGAUCUUGGACAGAACCUGAGACUUGGCCCUAUACUCCUGUUCCUGGCCCAGUGUGUUCCAGACUCAUGUUCUACUAAGUCCUCUUCCAGCAGAGAGUGAGAAUUGGACUGACCACCAGGGCUUCUUGGACUUGGGAGCCCUAAGGGCACAGAGCUACACGUACUGGCCCUGAAUCCAACCCCCAGGAAGACACAGGAAGCCCCUGCUCCUUGGAAGCAGCCAGAAAGGUGAGCGGGAAAUUGGCUGAGGCUGGGGGCACCCGCCCAGAAACCAGGAAGGAUGAAGACACAGGGAGCCCCUGCGCCUCUAUUCCCUGUUAUCUACCAAGAGCCAGACCUUGAAAACACCAUCCCCCUUGUGGAAUCUAUUAGAACUGCAUGGCACCUCAGGAGACCAUAGGUGUCCUUCCAGGGCAAGUCUUGGAGACCAGCCUGUUUGAUUAUCAUCUGUGUCACUCAUGGUGACAGAAAUGGGAUUUAAAGAUACAGGAGAAACAGAGGCCAAAAUUGGGAGAGCAUAACUUUGUGGAACAAUGGGUUCUGUGAUAGAACGCAAGGGUAUCUGAGGCAAGAAUGAAGAACGACCAUGUGUAUGUGUGGCCCUCCCUGAGAUAUUAUGACCUUGACACCGGGAGAUGCUUCCAACAUCUUGUCCAUGUUCAAGUUAGAAGUUUUGGAGUGGAUUAUCAAGGAGGGAGUUCACAUAAGAUUGUGCUUUUGAUGUCAAAUCUAAGAACUCUUUAUUUGACCUCAGAUUAUGCAGGUUUUCUCCUGUUUUUUACUCAAAGUUGUACAGUUCCAUGUUUUACAUUUAGAUCCAUUUUGAGUUACUGUUAUAAUAAGGUGUGAGGUUUUGGUCAAGGUCCAUUUACUACAGAUGGAUAUCCAGUUGUCCCAACAUCACUUGUUGAAAAGAUUAUCCUUCCUCCAUUGAAUUGCUUUUGUGUCUUUGUCAAAAAUCAAUUGGUCAUAUUUGUGUGGGUCUGUUUCUGGACUCUGUAUUCUGUUCUGCUGAUCAAUGUGUCUUUCCCUUCACCAAUACAUCACUGUCUUGAUUACUGCAGUUUUAUACUAAGUCUUUAAAUCAGAGAGUGUGAUCCUCUAACUUUAUUCUUUUUCAUAAUUCUUUUAGAUAUUGUAGUUCCUUUGUUUUUCUAUAUAAAUUUUAGAAUCAGCUUAUCGAUGUUUACAAAAUCUCCUGAUGGGAGAUUUUUAAUUAAACUUUUUAGUUUGGAAAAAAAAAACUUUAGAUCGACAGAAAAUCUGCCAGAAUAUUUUUCAAAAUAUAUACACCUUCUAUUUUUUCA